rnacentral:lncRNA from 1 species
NAGACCCGCAGAGGGGACAGCCAGGAUGUCACAGCCACGAGGUGAGGGUGGCACCCCGUGUCACACACGGUGGUGGCCGUCCUGUCACCGUUGUCCCCACAGGGAGGUCACUGUCACCAGCGCCAUAAGGGGAUUGGCAGUGUCACCAUCCCGGGACAGCGCCUGUGCUCUGUCCCCAGGUGUCACCCCAACAGGAGGUGGCACUCGGGGGGCUCAGGGUCACCCUGGUGCCCUCAAGCUCCCCUGUGUCCCCUCGUGUCCCCUGUCCCACCUCCCAUGUCCCCAUGUCGCCAGUGUCCCACAAUUCCGCCGUGUCCCCCCGGGUCCCCAUGUCCCCAAUGUUCUCAAUGUCACCAAUGUUCCCAAUGUCACCAAGUGUUCCCCCGUGUCCCCAUGUCCCGAAUGUCCCACAAUGUCUCCAUGUCCCCAGUGUCCCCCUGUGUCUUCCAGGUCCCCAGUGUCCCCAGUGCCCCCAGGUCCCCGUGUCCCUGAAUGUCCCCAAUGUCCCCCUGUGUCCCCAUGUCCCCAAUGUCCCCAAUAUCCCAAAUACUCCUCCGUGUCCCCCAUGUCCACCAGGUCCCCGCACGUCCCCCUGUGUCCCCAUGUCCCCAAAGUCCCCCUACGUCCCCCAAUGUCCCCAAUGCCCCUCUGUGUCCCCAAUGUCCCCAAUGUCCCCAAUGUUCCCCCCAAUGUCCCCCCGUGUCCGUCGCUCCUUGAUCGGGGGGAGGAGCCACCCUCAUGGGCGUGUCCCCUGCCGGACCCACCCCCUCUCCCCAUUGGCUGCUCGUUGCUGUCACUCAAACCCCGCCCCUAUAAAGGCGGCGGCGGCAGCGCCGAUCCCGCACUCGGAGCGGCGGCGGCAGCGGGCGGGAUGAGCGAGGUGGGGACACCGGGGGACAACGGGGACACCGGGGGGCAACGGGGACACCGGCGGGCACCGGGCGGGAUGAGCGAGGUGCGGGAACCGGGAGGCACCGGAACCGGGACUCUGCCACUUUUCCCGGGGCUUCCAGCACCGGGCGGGGAGCAGCGCUGGGAGCGGCAAUGGGACCAGGACAGGGGCGACACUUUGGGGACCCCAGGCCACCGGUGUCACCUCCCUUGUCCCCCCGGGCCCUCCUCUCUUCUCAGUGCAGCCCCCCUGAGCCCCACUCGCGCUGGAGGCUGUGGGGACCCUGGGGACAAUGUGGGGACAAUGUGGGGACAAUGUGGGGACAAUGCGGGGACCCUGUGUCACCUCCGGGUCCCCUCUCUCCGCAGCGCAGUCCCCGUGUCCCCCCCUCCGCGGCGGAGGCCCCCGGUGGGCAGCAGCAAGGUGAGGAGCGCGGGUUCGCUGUCACCGCUGUCACCUCUGUCACCUCUGUCACCAGGGUCCCCCCAUUGUCCCCGUCCUUGCGGGGGGUGGCACCUGCGUGCAUUUGGGGACCUCCCCUGUCCCCUCGGAAGUGUCGGGGUGUCCCCCCUGGGAGGGGUCCCGUGGUGUCCCGUGUCCCCCAGGGGAUGGCAGUGUGUCCAUCUGAGUGUCC